rnacentral:tRNA from 1 species
GCGUCGGUAGCAAAGCUUGGUUACGCGAUGGACUGCAAAUCCAUUUUACGGGGGUUCAAAUCUCUCCCGGCGCUCCA